GGGUAGGGUAGGAGAAAAAAAAUCAAGAUGUAAAACCUUAGAGUAACAGUAAAUCUGAAAUGGAUUAAUAUAGACAUUCAAAUGAUAAUUGCCAGUAAUUUUGCUUUUAUUAAAAUUUGUGAGGGUUUUUUUAAUAACAGACAUAAGACAUAAUGUAUUUUUUCAGGGUUCUGUGAUAGCUAACCAACAAAUGGAAUCUCUCACAAAAUAUCUGCAGUUCCUGUUAAAGAAAGUAGCUGCCUGUCUACAGCCAGUUUCAGCGCUUGAGUGACCUUCUGAUAACAUCGCCCCCAAGUUGCUUUGCAUGUCAUCUGGAGUGGCUGCUUUCCCUUUCUGGCUAACCAUGUGUGUAAUGUCAAGGAGGACUUACGCUAUGAGAGUGGGAAGGCUGGGACAAAAGUGUUCCACGAUAGUUAGGGAUGGACAACAGGAACUGAAACAGGUCAACUACCACCAUCAACUGAGCAGUUUAAGGCUUCAUCGCUUAGUAUGCAGCAGAACUAUGAAGAGUCCUUCAAAGCAGUUAUUCUUGCAUCAACAAUAGGACAACAGUAAUAUAUGAAAGGUCACAGAUACAGUGAUCUUCUAAUAUUAAAGUCCCAACAGAUAUAAAAACCAGUUCUGGAUAAAAUUACUAGCUUGAUCACAACACUGCUUAAUUCCCGGAAGCCAAAGAACAUCUGACCAGCCUGAGCCACUGAAGGGUUGAGGCAGCCGCUCACAGAACCAUGCUGCAGUCUAAAUGCAGAUUUCAGAUGAUACUGCAAAAGGACUUAGAAGGGUCAGCUAACACUAUUUAAAGAGGAUUCUGCCUGCAGAUUGCAAGAAUCAGUACCGUGUUGCACUGCUAACUUAGAUCCUGGAAACACAUCCUUUAAGGUGAAAACGUUCAGAGCAACUGACUGAAGGUCUCUUCAUCUUCCUGAUAUAUGGGGUGUACAACACAGAGGUGAAGGUGGAAUGAAGGCUUCCACUGCAGGAAGAAGCAAUGGUCCUUGUGAUGAAAACAGUUUUCUAAGAUUUUGGACAUCUGUUAGGUACUUCGUUUUACCAGAGACUUCUUGAAUAAGACAGAAGUUCUUCUGUGCCUCAGCAUGUCACCUGCAGAAUGGAAAUGGCAAGGACAAUAUUUUCCUGUCCUCAAACAGGAGUCAAAGCAUUUCACAAUCGGUGAUUAAACAUGAAAUGGCCAACAUGCCUGAACAAUAGUUUUGAUCACCUGCAGAGGGUGCAUCACCAGCUAAAAUGGAGUUUGUUGCCAAAACUAUAGGAAGUCGUUGCAUGAGGAAAUGUUUAACAGUAAAGGUGACAUCAUUAAUUACUGAAACUGAGCAACUUUAUGUAAUGAUUUCUGUAACUUAGCGUAAGACUGUUUGAGACAUGCCUUAAGUCCUUGGUUUUUCCAGUCCCAACUCCAAGAAUUCUUAACCUUUCCAUACUUUUGGUGUAUUUUUAAAUUAUUGCAAAAAUUCUCCUUCCUUCUCCUGUGGCUAGCAGGAAGCCAGCAGGAUACCAAUACUGCUUACUCACGGAAACUAAAACCAAAACAAUAGAUGCUGGUGUUUAUGGGACUUGCUGGGCAGACACAGGUGAUGUCAGGUUGCCUGGACGCGUGUGCAUCAAUGCCCUCAACAUGAGGAGUCUCUCACUCUCCUGACAAGUCUCUCUUGAGGUGCUUGCGCUAUCCUGCGCUCCUGCUCCCAAGCAGACCUGCAGUGUGCGCCAGGGGAGCUCUUCCUUUCAAGAGCACUGUGCUGGGCAACUCAUCACCCUGCUCCUGCUGUUAAAAAUGACCCUAGUAAAAAAGAAAAGGGGAAAAUAUGCUUCUGUCUUCAUUUCUGUUUCUCCUAGUGAUACUGGUGAUAUGACUGUGAUCAACUUGCCUAUUUCCACUUGGAUCAAAAUGUAGAUCCCUAGGAUGUCUAUUUGAAACAUUUUUUUAUGCAAUUUGCUAAAUGUUAAUGGAACUUGUAACCCAUCCUCCCUUCAAAAAACGCUGGUUUCAAGUUCUCAGUCUCAUAUUUUCCUCCAAAGCUUACAUAUCUCAUUUUCUUCAGUCUUUAUUCUAAGUUUAUCAGCACCAUGGACAUACGAUCAGAGACUUGUAUCCAGUUCAACAUCUUCACUCUAGACUUUGGGAUAAAUAGACUUCUCCAUUUGCCACUGAGACGUGUAUGAAGAACAGCUCAUAACAUGAUCGAACUCUAUUGAUUUUUCAUAAAAGUUUAAUAAGAUGAUACAGGUCAAAAGCUUUGCAAAAUUUGCAAUAAAUUUCUGUGGUGAUCUGAACAAGACUUAGUGGGGAGAGCUGACACCAGAGGAAUUUAAAUACACGUUGGAUUACAUGGUGUCUUGCACAUAACAAAUGCUUUAGUAGGCAACAGCUCUCAGAAAAAUACUUGAAUCAGUCCCCUGAAAAAGGAAACAUCAGAUUUAUGAUGGCAGUAUACAAAAGAGCUGUGAAAGCCAUUUGUGAUUCGUGAUACAGCAGGAUGAGACCAGUAGUUGAACCUCAAUGCCCUUCUUCCAGAAAUGUGCUGAUUAAAGAUCCUAGGCUGGCAGGCCCUGACACCAGCGUCCUGCACCAUCGCUCAUGGAGCAGUUGGGCUUUGCAACACUCGCCUGCAGCAUCUCCACCAGAGCCCCUGUUGCUUGCUUGGAGUCAUUGCUCCAUCCUGAACAAAAUGUUACAGAGACAUCGUUGUUGCUUCUCUGCCAGACUUCUCCAGGACCGUGACACGCCAGGGAAAAAUUGUGUAACCACCAUCCUGUGGCGACGUGGUCAUAUUUGUAUGCAGGCACACGUUGAUCAGCUGGGCCAGAAGUGAUUCAGUGAAGGUCUCACAAAUAAACUGAGAGAGAACGUGAGUCAAAACUAAUUUUUCCUAACUCCUCACCUAAUCCCAGGUUCAUAUUAUAUGUCAGAGCUAUAAAUGUUUGUCUUCUGAACACUCAGUUGGAAUAAGCAUACAUAAGAAAACUGGCAUGUUAAUUAUCCUGCUAUCAACAGGCUUAAAAAAAUAUAUAUGCUUAAAUGCAGACAA